AUUGAACGCUGGCGGCAGGCUUAACACAUGCAAGUCGAGCGGAGCGGCGGACGGGUGAGUAAUGCCUAGGAAUCUGCCUGGCAGUGGGGGAUAACGUCCGGAAACGGGCGCUAAUACCGCAUACUAUCAGAUGAGCCUAGGUCGGAUUAGCUAGUUGGUGGGGUAAAGGCCUACCAAGGCGACGAUCCGUAACUGGUCUGCGAGGAUGAUCAGGCACGCUGGAACUGAGACGCGGUCCAAACGCCUACGGGAGGCAGCAGUGGCGAAUAUUGGACGAUGGGCGGAAGACUAGUGCAGCCAUGCCGCGUGUGUGAAGAAGGUCUGCGGAUUGUAAAGCGCUUUUAGUUGGGAGGCGUUACCUACAGAAUAAGCACCGGCUAACUACGUGCCAGCAGCCGCGGUAAUAC
rnacentral:rRNA from 1 species